CCUACGGGUGGCAGCAGUGGGGAAUAUUGCACAAUGGGGGAAACCCUGAUGCAGCGACGCCGCGUGAGCGAUGAAGGACUUCGGUAUGUAAAGCGCUAUCAGCAGGGAAGAAAAUGACGGUACCUGACGAAGAAGCACCGGCUAACUACGUGCCAGCAGCCGCGGUAAUACGUAGGGGGCGAGCGUUAUCCGGAUUUACUGGGUGUAAAGGGAGCGUAGAGGGCUGUGCAAGACAGAUGUGAAAGCCCGGGGCUCAACCCAGGGACUGUAUUGGGAACUGUGCUGCUAGAGUGUCGGAGAGGUAGGCGGAAUUCCUAGUGUAGCGGUGAAAUGCGUAGAUAUUAGGAGGAACACCAGUGGCGAAGGCGGCCUGCUGGAAGAUGACUGACGUUGAGGCUCGAAAGCGUGGGGAGCAAACAGGAUUAGAUACCCCUGUAGUC
rnacentral:rRNA from 1 species